rnacentral:rRNA from 1 species
UACGUAUGGAGCAAGCGUUAUCCGGAUUUACUGGGUGUAAAGGGUGCGUAGGCGGACGCUUAAGUCAGCGGUAAAAUUGCGGGGCUCAACCUCGUCGAGCCGUUGAAACUGGGUGCCUUGAGUGGGCGAGAAGUACGCGGAAUGCGUGGUGUAGCGGUGAAAUGCAUAGAUAUCACGCAGAACUCCGAUUGCGAAGGCAGCGUACCGGCGCCCAACUGACGCUGAAGCACGAAGGCGUGGGUAUCGAACAGG